AUGUUUUUGGCAGAUGACAGAUAUUACAACACGGGUACAGUGCACGGCAAAGCUAAUGACACAGGUACACCAACCAAGUUCACACCAGGAAAAUUAUCAAAUAAUCGAUAAACUGGAGACUAAGCCCUUCGAUAGACCCUUCAACUGUAAAAAAAUCAUGUUCGGACAAACACCCCUUGGGACUUUAACGAAUUUUUUUAAUUUUUAUAAAGUUUUUUUAUUUUGCUAACUUUUUUUUUCACCCAAUGUAUAUCCUGCAAUUUUUUUUAUUUUUGCAAGAGAUUAAGCUCUUCGAUAGAGCCUUCGACUGUAAAAAAAUCAUGUUCGGACAUAAUGUAUCUUGUGAGGUAUAAUAUUGAUAAAUGUCGCUUCUUGUUACUUUCAUGCAAAUAAAGAUUUUUAAAUGCU